UAUGAUGCGCAGUCUCAAAUUCAGUAAAAAGGCUACUAUAAAGCACAUACGCCAGCAGAGCGCCGCCAAAAGCGCCGGCAAACUGGGCAAUAAUAUAAGGCAAUACUUUCUGUUUGGGGAAGCAGGCAAACAGCCACAGCGCAAUCGUCACCGCAGGGUUAAGAUGUCCGCCGGAGAUGCCGGCCGUAAGGUAAACGGCCAGUGAAAUCCCAGGCCCCCAAAUAAUGCAAAUCUCCCAUAAUCCGAGGCUGGCGCCUGCGACUUUGAGCGCGCUCAAACAACCG
rnacentral:misc_RNA from 1 species